rnacentral:sRNA from 1 species
UUGCUGGUUGGCUGAAGAGUGGCGGACGGGUGAGUAAUGUCUGGGAAGCUGCCUGAUGGAGGGGGACAACUACUGGAAACGGUAGCUAAUACCGCAUAAUGUCGCAAGACCAAAGAGGGGGACCUUCGGGCCUCUUGCCAUCGGAUGUGCCCAGACGGGAUUAGCUUGUUGGUGGGGUAACGGCUCACCAAGGCGACGAUCCCUAGCUGUUCUGAGAGUGGGACCAGCCACACUGGAACUGAGACACGGUCCAGACUCCUACGUUUUUCAGCAGUGGGGGAGAUACGGGAGGCAUCUUUCCCCUCUGGUGUUAAACUCGA